rnacentral:rRNA from 1 species
UACGGAGGGUGCAAGCGUUAUCCGGAUUCACUGGGCUUAAAGGGUGCGUAGGCGGAGUGGUAAGUCAGUGGUGAAAUCUCCAAGCUUAACUUGGAAACUGCCGUUGAUACUAUCAUUCUUGAAUAUCGUGGAGGUAAGCGGAAUAUGUCAUGUAGCGGUGAAAUGCUUAGAUAUGACAUAGAACACCGAUUGCGAAGGCAGCUUGCUACACGAUCAUUGACACUGAGGCACGAAAGCGUGGGGAUCAAACAGG